rnacentral:lncRNA from 1 species
AUGUUCAAGCUGGUUUUCGAAAAGGCAGAGGAACCAGAAACCAAAUUGCCAACAUCUGCUGGAUCAUGGAAAAAGCAAGAGAAUUCCAGAAAAACAUCUAUUUCUGCUUUAUUGACUAUGCCAAAGCCUUUGACUGUGUGCAUCACAAUAAACUGGAAAAUUCUGAAAGAGAUGGGAAUACCAGACCACCUAACCUGCCUCUUGAGAAACCUAUAUGCAGGUCAGGAGGCAACAGUUAGAACUGGACAUGGAAAAACAGACUGUGUCCAAAUUGAAAAAGGAGUACAUCAAGGCUGUAUAUUGUCACCCUGCUUAUUUAACUUGUAUGCAGAGUACAUCAUGAGAAACACUAAGCUGGAAGAAGCACAAGCUGGAAUCAAGAUUGCCAGGAGAAGUAUCAAUAACCUCAGAUACGCAGAUGACACCACCCUUAUGGCAGAAAGUGAAGAGGAACUAAAAAGCCUCUUGAUGAAAGUGAAAGAGGAGAGUGAAAAAGUUGGCUUAAAGCUCAAUAUUCAAAACACUAAGAUUAUGGCAUGUGAAACAGUGUCAGACUUUAUUUUUUGGGACUCCAAAAUCACUGCAGAUGGUGACUGCAGCCAUGAAAUUAAAAGACGCUUACUUCUUGGAAGAAAAGUUAUGACCAACCUAGAUAGCAUACUGAAAAGCAGCGACAUUACUUUGCCAACAAAGGUCCAUCUAGUUAAGGCUAUGGUUUUUCCUGUGGUCAUGUAUGAAUGUGAGAGUUGGACUGUGAAGAAGGCUGAGCACCGAAGAAUUGAUGCUUUCGAACUGUGGUGUUGGAGAAGACUCUUGAGAGUCCCUUGGACUGCAAGGAGAUCAAACCAGUCCAUUCUGAAGGAGAUCAGUCCUGGGUGUUCUUUGGAAAGAAUGAUGCAAAAGCUGAGACUCCAGUACUUUGGCCACCUCAUGCGAAGAGUUGACUCUUUUGGAAAAGACUCUGAUGCUGGGAGGGAUUGGGGGCAGGAGGAAAAGGAGGCGACAGAUGUCGAGAUGGCUGGGUGGCAUCACUGA